rnacentral:rRNA from 1 species
UAGUCCACGCCGUAAACGAUGGUCACUCGCUGUCGGCGAUACAUAGUCGGCGGCCGAGCGAAAGUAUUAAGUGACCCACCUGGGGAGUACGCCGGCAACGGUGAAACUCAAAGGAAUUGACGGGGGCCCGCACAAGCGGAGGAACAUGUGGUUUAAUUCGAUGAUACGCGAGGAACCUUACCCGGGCUUGAAUUCGUGGCGACCGCCGGUGAAAGCCGGUUUCCCUUCGGGGCGCCGCGGAAGGUGCUGCAUGGUUGUCGUCAGCUCGUGCCGUGAGGUGUCGGGUUAAGUCCCAUAACGAGCGCAACCCCUACUGUCAGUUGCCAGCGCGUAAAGGCGGGGACUCUGGCGGGACUGCCACCGUAAGGUGCGAGGAAGGCGGGGAUGACGUCAAAUCAGCACGGCCCUUACGGCCUGGGCUACACACGUGCUACAAUGGAACGCACAGAGGGCAGCGAAGGCGCGAGCUGGAGCGAAUCCCACAAAACGUUUCGUAGUCCGGAUUGGAGUCUGCAACUCGACUCC